UUUUUCGAGGUCGUUUGUGCAUUGCAGUAAUCACAUUUCAUUCCAGGGACUCCGGAUCAGGUCCGACACCUAAUAAGCUUUAGGACUACCAACGAGGAGAAUUUUACUAAGAAGAAAUAUGCUGCUAAACCACUGUGGGAGAAACUCAUCAAAGAGCUGGAACUGGAGGGAAAGGUGACCACAGCACAAAUUGGCAAAAAUGGGAAAAUCUUAAAAAAAAAAUAUAAGAACACUUUGGAAGACGCCAGCACAUUGGCCUCAAGCUCUGCCUCACCAGCUGGAAGAGGAAGCUGGAAGCUUCAGGCAUCAGGUCCACUUUCCCCCCGAUCCCCAAAAAAAAGAAACUCUCUAUGCAGGACUUCCUUCAAGCUGAGGCCGCCAA